GGCGGCAGCCUACCAUGCAAGUCGAGCGGUAGCACAGGGAGCUUGCUCCUGGGUGACGAGCGGCGGACGGGUGAGUAAUGUCUGGGAAACUGCCUGAUGGAGGGGGAUAACUACUGGAAACGGUAGCUAAUACCGCAUAACGUCGCAAGACACCAAAGAGGGGGACCUUCGGGCCUCUUGCCAUCAGAUGUGCCCAUGGGAUUAGCUAGUAGGUGGGGUAACGGCUCACCUAGGCGACGAUCCCUAGCUGGUCUGAGAGGAUGACCAGCCACACUGGAACUGAGACACGGUCCAGACUCCUCCGGGAGGCAGCAGUGGGGAAUAUUGCACAAUGGGCGCAAGCCUGAUGCAGCCAUGCCGCGUGUAUGAAGAAGGCCUUCGGGUUGUAAAGUACUUUCAGCGGGGAGGAAGGCGUUGUGGUUAAUAACCUCUCCGAUUGACGUUACCCGCAGAAGAAGCACCGGCUAACUCCGUGCCACCAGCCGCGGUAAUACGGAGGGUGCAA
rnacentral:rRNA from 1 species